GACGAACGCUGGCGGCAUGCCUAAUACAUGCAAGUCGAACGCGCAGCGAAAGGUGCUUGCACCUUUCAAGCGAGUGGCGAACGGGUGAGUAACACGUGGAUAACCUGCCUCAAGGCUGGGGAUAACAUUUGGAAACAGAUGCUAAUACCGAAUAAAACUUAGUAUCGCAUGAUACAAAGUUAAAAGGCGCUACGGCGUCACCUAGAGAUGGAUCCGCGGUGCAUUAGGUAGUUGGUGGGGUAAAGGCUUACCAAGACGAUGAUGCAAAGCCGAGGUGAGAGACGGAGCGGCCACAUGGGGCCUGAGACACGGCCCAAACUCCUACGGGAGGCUGCAGUAGGGAAUCUUCCACAAUGGGCGAAAGCCUGAUGGAGCAACGCCGCGUGUGUGAUGAAGGCUUUCGGGCCGUAAAGCACUGUUGUAUGGGAAGAAAUGCUAAAAUAGGGAAUGAUUUUAGUUUGACGGUACCAUACCAGAAAGGGACGGCUAAAUACGUGCCAGCCGCCGCCGUAA
rnacentral:rRNA from 1 species